GUUACGGCAGUUUCUAAUUCGCUUGGUGCAGGUCGGGACCAUCUCAUAUUAUACACUCUGAUUUCAUUUUCAGAUGAAUUCUAUGGUCCCGUCUUGCAUCAAUUGAAUCGGAUACUCCUGUGAAU
rnacentral:pre_miRNA from 1 species